rnacentral:rRNA from 1 species
UACGUAGGGCGCAAGCGUUUAUCCGGAAUUAUUGGGCGUAAAGAGCUCGUAGGCGGUUUGUCGCGUCUGCCGUGAAAGUCCGGGGCUCAACUCCGGAUCUGCGGUGGGUACGGGCAGACUAGAGUGAUGUAGGGGAGACUGGAAUUCCUGGUGUAGCGGUGAAAUGCGCAGAUAUCAGGAGGAACACCGAUGGCGAAGGCAGGUCUCUGGGCCGAUACUGACGUGAGGAGCGAAAGCGUGGGGAGCGAACAGG